CUGAGUGAGGGCCCUCUGGGUCCAACCUCCCACCCGUGUUUAUUGUACCUUGUUGCUUCGGUGCGCCCGCCUCACGGCCGCCGGGGGGCAUCUGCCCCCGGGCCCGCGCCCGCCGAAGCCACCUGUGAACGCUGUCUGAAGUAUGCAGUCUGAGCAUCUUAGCUAAAUCAGUUA
rnacentral:misc_RNA from 1 species